GACGAACGCUGGCGGCGCGCCUAACACAUGCAAGUCGAACGAGCGAGCGAGAGCUUGCUUUCUCGAGCGAGUGGCGAACGGGUGAGUAACGCGUGAGGAACCUGCCUCAAAGAGGGGGACAACAGUUGGAAACGACUGCUAAUACCGCAUAAGCCCACGACCCGGCAUCGGGUAGAGGGAAAAGGAGCAAUCCGCUUUGAGAUGGCCUCGCGUCCGAUUAGCUAGUUGGUGAGGUAACGGCCCACCAAGGCGACGAUCGGUAGCCGGACUGAGAGGUUGAACGGACACAUUGGGACUGAGACACGGCCCAGACUCCUACGGGAGGCAGCAGUGGGGAAUAUUGCACAAUGGGGGAAACCCUGAUGCAGCGACGCCGCGUGGAGGAAGAAGGUCUUCGGAUUGUAAACUCCUGUUGUUGAGGAAGAUAAUGACGGUACUCAACAAGGAAGUGACGGCUAACUACGUG
rnacentral:rRNA from 1 species